GGCGCUGACGGCAGCCUCGGCGAGCCCCUGCUCCACCGGCCCCGAGCCAGGUGCCGGGGGUAGGGAGAGACGCGGCGGGGCGGCGAGAGACACCCUCUUCCUUCUCGAGCCCGGCCAACUGCCCAGCUCACCUCGUGGCUCUGUGAGAAUUGUCUCUAGAAUGCAGCAAACCAUGAGGUGGCAGUUCCAAGUUCACUGAAGCAAUGAGCUCCCUCCCUGGUCACAAGAUGGCUGUAGCAGUUUCAGCUAUCACAAUCUCACACCAAUGUCCAGUACGCGGGCCUCUCACUGUUGUGGCCUCUCCCGUUGUGGAGCACAGGCUCUGGACGCACAAGCUCAGCAGCCAUGGCUCACGGGCCUAGCCAUUCCGUGGCAUGUGGGAUCUUCCUGGAUCGGGGCACGAACCUGUGUCCCCUGCAUUGGCAGGCGGACUUUCAACCACUGCACCACCAGGGAAGCCUAGAGCCCUCUUUUUUUGUGGCUAUGCUGCCUCUCCAGGUGAGAGGACUUGGGAAUCUGUAAAGAAAGGAGCCUUUGCAGGUGUGGUGCUGAAGAACCUUUCACCAGAUCUGGAAAUACUUUGUCCCUGGAGUAGACUUCCAGUCAAAUGAGGAUCUCCAUAGGAAUGGAAGAAAUCACACUUUCUGCUCCAGGAUCCUGUGUUUGCCAGGUCACAUUGCUUUACUUUGGAUUUCUACCAUCUGAGCGAGGAUCAGUCCAAGGAUCUGAGACCCACCGUGGUGCAGCAGAUUGCUGCGCAUCGCCAGGGAAAUGUGUCCUCUUGCGCCAGGUAAGAAUCUGAAGAUGAGACGUUUGCAUCCCUGGCGCCUCACAUUUUGUGCCAAACCAGGACUGCACUGCAAGAAGUCUCCUUGCCAAUUUUCCUUUAUUAAAAAGAUACUCCUGCAAAAAAAAAAAAAAAAAAAAAGAUACUCCUUUCCAUGCCCAAGAAUAACAUGGAAAAGGAUAACCAUUUAACUAUGUUUGACCAUGGUCCUGAGGAAUUCAGCAGGAUCUCACAGAGUUCCAAACUCUACAUUUUUCAAUUCACAAGCAAAGGAUGAAUGAUAUAUCAACAGCACAAUAAUAGAAAAUGUGUAAUUCUUUAGAAGGCUUAACAAUGUCACCAGAGUGCCAAGCAUCCAUGUUAUGAAGGUUGUCAUACACCAUGACUAUAAACAUAGUGUGCUAGCAUUACAUUUUGAGCAAUAAUAGAAUAUGCUUCUUUGAAAGUUGUGAAAGCUGAGCUGCCAUUAAGGAUUUGGCAUUUCAUUUUGCUGUAUGGAAAGCCAUUUAGCAUGUGGUUUGACACCCAGCAUUUGGGAGUUCGUCCAAGUUCAGUUGUCCUAGACAGUUAAUAUCUUCUUCUUGUAGAGUUUAGAUAGCCCCACUAGCAUUCAGGAUUUCCAGACACACACUGCAUUAUUUUAAAGCACAUCUUUUAGUGCCAGACAACGGGCAAAUGCUAGUGAAGUUCCAGGUAGAGGCAUGUUUAUUUGUUUUCUGUGGUUCAGAAACCAUUUCCUUUUGCUUGAAUAAGACACUCUCUAAAAGCAAUUUCCUUUCUCUUUCCAUGGCUCCAUGAAAUGGUAAAUUAUUAAAAUGAUCAGGGCUACUGGUAUGGUAGUGAAUGAGAGGUGAUCUUGCAUUGGAGGGGGUACUGAGCAUAGAGAAAGUUUGAAAAAGGAACAUAAAUCCCUUCUAUGGGACUCAGGUUGAGUUUUUUUGUCAGUAGUUCCUCUGUCCUCCCUUGAUCUACACACACACUCCUUGGUUCCACUACUGCAUUAUAAAAAUGAUGAAUCUCAGGAUGAAGUUCUGUCUUUUAGCCCAUGUCACUGCUCGGGAGAGGUCAUGAAUAUGAAGAAAACAAUGAAGUAGAAUUCACAAACAAAACUGAAUGAAGUUGCUGAAAAGAAAACUUUGUUUGUAGCUGGAUCUCUUUGUACAGAGAGGCCCAGUACAUCCAUACUGGACGGCUAGUCAGAAAAAUCUAGAUUAUGGCCCCUGCUCUGACACCCAUGUAACUUUUGGCAAGACCUGUAACCACAC